rnacentral:rRNA from 1 species
GUAGGUGGCAAGCGUUGUCCGGAAUUAUUGGGCGUAAAGCGCGCGCAGGCGGGGUCCUUUAAGUCUGAUGUGAAAGCCCACGGGCUCAACCGUGGAGGGUCAUUGGAAACUGGGGGACUUGAGUACAGAAGAGGAAAGCGGAAUUCCAAGUGUCGCGGUGAAAUGCGUAGAGAUUUGGAGGAACACCAGUGGCGAAGGCGGCUUUCUGGUCUGUAACUGACGCUGAGGCGCGAAAGCGUGGGGAGCAAACAGGAUUAGAUACCCUGGUAGUCCACGCCGUAAACGAUGAGUGCUAAGUGUUAGGGGGUUUCCGCCCCUUAGUGCUGCAGCUAACGCAUUAAGCACUCCGCCUGGGGAGUACGGCCGCAAAGGCUG